CGGACGGGUGAGUAAUGUCUGGGAAACUGCCUGAUGGAGGGGGAUAACUACUGGAAACGGUAGCUAAUACCGCAUAACGUCGCAAGACCAAGAGGGGACCUUCGGGCCUCUUGCCAUCAGAUGUGCCCAGAUGGGAUUAGCUAGUAGGUGGGGUAACGGCUCACCUAGGCGACGAUCCCUAGCUGGUCUGAGAGGAUGACCAGCCACACUGGAACUGAGACACGGUCCAG
rnacentral:rRNA from 1 species